UAUUUACAAUCAUUUAUUUAUUUAGCCUAUUUAUUGUUUGUUUGUUUUAAUAUUUUCUUUAACAGUUUAAUUUAGUUGCAAAUUGCAAAGUCACACAAAUCAGGGUUUUAAAUGGUUUUUAGACCUAAAUAAUAAAAUAGCUCAUAUAACAUUUUGUGUUACCUUCUAAUGGUCUAUAAUUUCUAAAUAAUUUCCUCGACUGACCACUUUUUUUUAUUAUUUAAAAAUCCCAGUGUCUAUUUUGUAGAAAAUGCAGCAUGCUCUAUUAAUCUAAAUCAUUUGAUUGAUUUAACAGUCCCCUAUAUGUAGCUGGCCCAUGAAUUAAUUCAAUAGUGAAUUCAAUAGAAUGGAAAUUAAAUUAGAUUUGAAUAUACUUCACUGACCCUGGACUGUCAACAAGAGUUUGCACUCCAGUCUCAGACACCCCCCUGCUGUGAACCUGAUGAUGUAAGCAGUCCAGUCACAGCUGGAGUCCAGCCAAACCCAAACACUGCGGAGCUGCUCCAAGAGGAUGUGCGUAUGCAGUCCUGAGAGCUUGAUCAGAGCUCACGAACAACACGCUCCUGCUGAAGACCAUGAAGCCCAAGUCUCUCUGUGUCCCGCGGCUUGGCCUCUUUGAGGAUGGCAGAUACAGGCGGCAGGUCGAUACCGGCGCACCGGAGCAGAACCAGAGAGAGAAACCCAGAGAUCUGCGCUUUACUUUACUGCCAGAGAGAACUCCAUAUGAGCCUUUAGUGGAAGAUGACAGUCAACACAAUCUAAAGGAGGAAAAGAAAGCAAAAAAGAAAGAAAAGUAUAAAAAAUACAGAAAGAACGUAGGAAAGGCUCUUCGCUACAGUUGGAAAUGCCUGAUGUUGGGUCUGCAGAACUUCACUGUGGGAUAUUCCACCCCUCUUUCUGCUGCUGCUUCAGUUGUCCCAGAUUUCCAUCCGGGAGGAGCCUGGGGUUGAGACAAUCUGUGACCAGCAUUCGUACUUUAUUUGUACCUUUAUGGACCAUUUAAUGCUGCAUGUCCAGAUGCUUAUUUAAAAAUGGACAAUACAUCUGCCCUGAGCAGCUACCUGUCAUGCUGUAAAAUUGUUCAAUUGUUGUAAAUAUUUUCUCUUUGAAUUUGUGUUAAAGUGGAGUUUUCAUCUUGCAUUAGUGAUUUACAGCUAUAAGAAAGACAUGGAUCUCUUUUUACUUUCAGAUCUAUCUGUAUAUAUUUUGCUUUGAUUGAAAGAAUGGAUAUGAAUUUCUGUACUGAAGUAAUAAAAUGCAAUUUUUCUCUAUCA
ensembl:lncRNA